AGUGAACGCUGGCGGUAGGCCUAACACAUGCAAGUCGAACGGCAGCACAGUAAGAGCUUGCUCUUACGGGUGGCGAGUGGCGGACGGGUGAGGAAUACAUCGGAAUCUACUUUUUCGUGGGGGAUAACGUAGGGAAACUUACGCUAAUACCGCAUACGACCUACGGGUGAAGGCAGGGGAUCUUCGGACCUUGCGCGAUUGAAUGAGCCGAUGUCGGAUUAGCUAGUUGGCGGGGUAAAGGCCCACCAAGGCGACGAUCCGUAGCUGGUCUGAGAGGAUGAUCAGCCACACUGGAACUGAGACACGGUCCAGACUCCUACGGGAGGCAGCAGUGGGGAAUAUUGGACAAUGGGCGCAAGCCUGAUCCAGCCAUACCGCGUGGGUGAAGAAGGCCUUCGGGCUGUAAAGCCCUUUUGUUGGGAAAGAAAAGCAGCAGGUUAAUACCCCGCUGUUCUGACGGUACCCAAAGAAUAAGCACCGGCUAACUUCGUG
rnacentral:rRNA from 1 species